UUUGAUCUCCUUUUAGAGCAGGUAUUUUGAAUGUUUUAGAAGUGUAAAAAACAACAAUGAAGUAAAAGAUUUUUCUUGAGCUUAAGUUUUCAAAUUCAAAGAAUAGGAAAAUAAAAAAAAAUCCACCAAAGAGGGUUUGAAGUUUGAGGGAAACAAUGUCAAAUUCAUGAAAGGAAACUUGAUGCCCUAAUCUAUAAAUCUAAGUUGAAUAGUUUGAAUUAUAUUGUCAUAUUAGACCAAAAAGGAUUAUGUUGUGUGCUUCAUUGUAAAAUACAAUUGAUUAUGAGACUGAAAGGAAGAGUGAAGGGUGUUUUUGGUGUUUGAGCAAGCACAGUGUCAACCCAUAGGUUGAGGUGCAACCAACACUGACAAAACCGGUUAUAUAUGAAAGGUGUAACUUGCACCAAAAAAACUAGUUAGGUUGAAAGUCGUGUGACUAGCAUCGUAAAAAACAAUAUAUUGGUUGUAUGGCAUUAGCAAGGAUGUGGAUAUAGCUAUAUCUUGAAUUAGAUAGCUACUUGUUUCAAUGCAAUCCACCCCCAUAAAAUGUCAAUCGUAGGAAAAAUAGUUGCUAAGAAUUGAAUAGACUGAACUAAGUAAUGGUUAAAAAUGAAUGACAAAAUUAAAAAAAAAAAAGAAAACAAUUUUAGAUGCAGAAAUCAACUUAAAUUUAGUUGAGUAAAUUAUAACAAAUUUCUAGUUUAUCUUUACAUUGUUUACAUACUUGUUCUUAUAGGCAUUGAAACCAAGUGAAGGGAAACCUGCAAAGCCACAAUCAUCUCUCAUUGUGGAGAACCAUUAGAAGAGAGAUCAUUGAAGAACUUGGCCAAUGCUCUAAUUUUGUUCUUGAAUAAUAUAUAAGAGAGACUUAUCAGUAUACACAAUGUUCAAAUAAUCAAAAUUAUCAAGAAAAACAACACUAUGUCUUGUCAAGAAAAUCUUACUUUGCAAGUGUAGUUCCUUGAGAAAUGUGGCAACAAUUGAUAAGGUGUUUACCAUAGAAUACAAUAUUUCAACAAUCUUAAAAAACAAAAGUAAUAAAAAUAAAGCAUGAUCAUUUGUGAUUGUCUCCAUAUAGUAAUAACAUUGUAGAUUCAGUCAUUAAGAAAUUUUUUUAUUGGGAAAAUUCAUGAUUGUAAGUGGUGUGGAAAGGCUAAGCGUGGUGGUCCCCUUAAUGGACAAAGAAAGACUAGGAGUCUCGGGUAAUAGGAGUAGGUUGGGAUCUUCUGUUGAUAGAAUUAUGUGUUUGUUGUGGUUUGCACUGCCUUUUAUAAGGGGAGAUCCUGAGGCCCUGAAGGGAAGGAACCAAAAGGGAUUUGACUCCUAUUUGGAAAGGGGAUCCUUGAUUUGAUAUUGACUGACAGGAGGGUGUUGCUUGGGGUUCACCACAUGUCACAUGAGAUCUUCACAAGACGAAAUUUCCUUUAAUUUGAGGAUUCUCCUAAUGCACAUAUGCUACUUCCAUUUGCGAGUCCCCUUUGUUGACAUGGCAUGGGUGACGUCAAAGUUAGUUUGACAUGUUGGACUACUUGCUCCAUCAUCAACUGAUUAUUCUAUCAACAAUAGUCUUUGGCUUGUAAAUGCAUGAUUCUAGGUUCCUGACGCUCCUGAGCUUAUUGCAGAUUUGUAAGUACAUCUUGGUUCCUUCAUCGCAACCAUAGUUAUGGUGAACAACAUGUUCUUACAACUAGCCCCCCUGGUUAUUGGUAAGCAUAAGCUUAUCAAUAAUCAUUUGCGUUGUGUGUUUUAAAAGGCAACAGGGAGGUGAGGAUUUUGUUUUGAAUUUAGGGGUUUUUGAUAGAAAUCAAUUAAGGGUUCAAGGUCUUUUAGCAUUGAUGCGAUUGGUCUAUUUUUGCUUUGAGGUUUGAUUCGUCUCUUGUGUUAUUAGCCCCCUAUUUCUUGGUCGAAAGGCUUCUGUCAAAAGUCAUAGGUAUUGUUACUUUUGGUUUUACAACCCCCCAUGACUUUCGAUAUAGGGCUUCCUAGCAAGAAACGUGUAUUUACUUGGGCAGGCUAUGGGAGUUUUCCGUUUUUCAAAAAAUGGUAUAUUGUGGUGAUAUACUUUGAUUGGCGGGGUGAUAGCCCCCUAGUGUUUUGGCAAUGGGAUGUCCGGUGUCAAUGUUAUUCUUAAUGCCGUACUGGGUAGUUUAAGUGAUUUCCCAUGUUUUGUUUACACUAUGUUUAUGUAACUAUUUUGUCGUGCAUGGUGUUGAAUUAACUGUUAAUCUAUGUUCUAAGAGGCCAACGCUGAUUGGCUGGUGAGGUGUCUUGGAUGAUGUAGUGUGUAGCCUUCAUUUAGGCUAUGGGUACGAACAUUCAGUGAUUUCAUUUGAAUCAUAACAAUUUUAAGUCACUUCCUUUUUAUUUGGGACACUAACAAUUUUAAAUUGCUUCCUUUUAUGAGACACAGUUUCGGUUGCUACAUAGUUUCCAAAUUAUCUUUAAAAGUGGGGUGAGGGUGGUCUACUCUCAUUCGUUUUUGUCUGAAGUGUUGUGCUACCAUUGUUGCGACUACUCUACAGCUCUAUUCCCCUUUUGCUUGUUGUUUUUUCCAUUUAGGGUUGUUGCAUUUUGUAUUGGAUGGCACCACGCAAAUAGUCUAAGGGUUCCCAUGCACAGGAAGAGGUGACUAAGCAAGUUUGUCCAUUCCUAGGCUUCGUCUGGGACAUAGAUACAACAAAGUUGCUCCCCAACUACGAGUCUGAAGGGUGGCUGGCUCAAGGAGGGGUUUUGGUCUCUGGUGCCUGUGGCGAUGGGCAAAGGCAACACCUUUGAUAUUGUUGAAGGCAAGGAGUUUCUCUGUCUAUAUGGGCAACAGGUGUGCAAAUUCAGCUACCGUUGCAUAGAGCCUAAGAUGGGCUUUGAAGGCUCCACCAACCAUGUUUUGUGGGCAUCAUUUAUCUUAGAGAAUCCUAUGUAUUGCAGGCUACUGUGUGAUGCAAGUUUGUUAAGUUUUAUGGAAUGCUUCAUGGAUCUUCAAGGGGUGACGGUGUGGAUUUUGUGGAACCAUUGUUGGGACAUUGGUGUUGCCAUACCUGCAGCUUUUUUGGUGCAUUAGGAGAGUUUGGCGUUAUGAUAGAGGAUGUUGUAGCUUUACUGGCACUACCAGUGUUUGGUACUAUAUCAACACGUCAUCUCUAGCACCUGGAAAGUAUUCCUAGGGAAUUGAUUCCAGUAUAUGAAGAAUUGGUGGCCGAGAUAGACCACUUUAAGUUGAAGAUGGACUCUACUUCUGCUCAGGGCAAGAUGACACUUACUGGGUGGAUGAAGUACUGGUUCAAGUACCAUGGCGGCAGUUGCUUCAUGGUGCAAAAGAUAAAUAGUCAGUGUUACUUGGUUGCUUUUGUUCUUUACAUGGCUUCUAGGUUCCUCUUCCCAGAUGCUCCUAACUAUGGAUUGCGUACAUGGGUCGUGACAUUGGUCAUUUCGGUUGCCGUGGGACAUUAGCUGCCAUUGGCAUCAAUGUUUCUCGGUUAUUUGAACGAGCAUAUGGAUGACAUAGUCCAUCAGAUUAUGGAUCCUGGAUGUGCAUGUUGGUCUUCGUAUGUCUUUUUCGCAUUCUUCUUUAUGUUUAUCUCUGAGCAUUUUGAUUUGGACAUUGUGCCCCGCAAGCUAUCCCCUUUCAGUGUGCAUGUGGCCACAUUGGACGAAGUGGAGUCCUGGCAGGUCUCAAUUGACGUCUGUAGGGGAAAGUGGUGGUUGAAUGCGAAAAGGGGCAGGGGUUUUGGUGUUAAUAGAAUAGAAUCCUGGCUUGCUAGUUUGGAUGGAUUCGUAGCCCGUCCUUAUGUUCAGUGCGUGCCCUAUUCCAUGCAAUUCUAUGUGGGAAUGAACGUUACCAAAGGGGGAGAUUAGCAGGGCACCGUCAGUGUUGAUAAUCUUGUAGUUAGGGCUACUCGUCUAGUGUAAUGGCUUAGGGUCCUCUGUUAUUUGGAUAGGCCAGGGGAGGUCCAGACUAAUGUUUACUGUCCAGACCACCUCUUUUGGUAUGAUAGCUUGGGCUUGCAGUUUCUUAUUCAUGAAUGUGAGGACAUUUUUUGGUAGCGGCACAAUGACCUUGCAUUUUUUUGUGUUUCCUAUUUUCCAGUAGCUGGAUGUAAGUGCACUGAGGUUUGUUCCUCACUCUGUUGUGUAGGUGCAUGGUGCUCACUUAGUCCCUCAGAUCAUAGUGAACACUAGAUUGAUACCGCAUAGACGUUUGUGAUCAGCCUACAGUCAACCUUCCCUCCGCGAUGAAACCCCGAUUCAUCGCACACCUGUGAUGAACCUUCAAGCGCUACGACAUCCCGAUUCCUUAAAGACCGAGCCCAGACAUCACUUACAUGUGUAAUUUCGAAGGGGCAAACAGGACAAGGUGCCACAUAGGACUAAUAAGGCACCGUCUGCCAGAUAGUGAUGACAUUAGUGCCACGUCAAUAAGGUGAGGCGCCCAAAGGGAAAUAGUACACGUGAGCCCCAGGGAUCUCUGAGUGAAAGGAAAGCAAAUCCUCUGAGAGAUUCCCAUGGGGACACAUGGCAAAAUCCCAGUAGUGCCCUUAAUGAUUAGUGGAAAAUCCAAUAUUCCCUUUCCUAGUAGAAAACAAAUACCUUUAACUCCUUCCUUUCAGGACCUCGGGAUCUCUCCCACAAACAAAGAUCCUCCUCAUAAUGAAACUCACUUAGUUAUCAAGUAUCCUCACCACUAAUCCCUUAGCUCAUCACACAUUCCUCUUGUCCUAGUCUUCAGCUCGACCCUCUUAUCCACGGUCUUUCUCUAUCUUUCAAAGAGACCGCCUCCCUAACCUAGCCACCACCCUACCUACACGUUGUGACUAUCUUUGUGCAUUACAUGGUGGCUUCCAACUAUUCAUGGUGGUGGAGCCUUGUCCUAGGCCUAUAAUGGCCCCUCCACUAGAUCAUGCUGAGGAACAGGGUGGGGUGGGUUUGUCUAGUGUGCAGGUUCCAUUGCACUCGUCUACUUCAGUUUCCCCGCUUGACACGGAAGCGCAAUUUUACAAAGGGAAGCGAGUCGUGGUCGAGGAAGGGGAGAGUAGCCAUCCUCCCAUCACCAAUAAUCCUCAUUCGGUUAGGCAGACCCGUCCUACUUUGCUACCGGGGGCGACAAAUGUGAAUGUUCCGGUGGUGGGCACUCGACUUAGGGAAUAGGGCUCAGUCCCUAUAGCCAGCACGACGAGUGUUCCAGUCCAAGCUCCGGUUGACACACUCACAACAAGGAUGACGUUCUGCCCCAGGCUGAAGUGGGGUCUGGUAAAUAAACAGGGGAUUCUUUGCCACCUGUUAUAGCUGUAGCAGUCUCGGUUGUGAGUGGUCGUGUGAAGAAAAUAGCCCCUCAUGUCCGUGUGAAGGGAGCAGGGUCAUCCACAUUGUCAUUUAUUUUGAAAUAGGCAAGGGUAAGAGAUGGUUUUUGCGAGCCUGUCGCCAUGUAAGCGCCAACUGACGGUGCUAUGAAUGAAGAGGGAAUUCUAGUGUCAUCCCGGCUAGUAUGCCUAUGACACCUAUCAUCAAGCGCUUGAUGGAAGACUUAAAGUCUCUUCGCCCGGUGGUUGGAGAGGAGGAGUCACCAAGGGAGGUGCUAGUGAUGUGGGCGUUCCAGUCGUCACUUCAGAUGUUCGUCAGGGGAGUAAUGCUUGUGAUGGGGAUGGCAUGCCUACUGAUGCUGAUGUAAUCAUUGAGGCUCCUGUCACAGUAUUAGGGCAGCCCCCCACAGGUCUUGUAGCAGGUGAAAGCGCGGAUGCGCUUGUUGUAGGCGAGUCAGGGCAUGAGCGGGAGCCUUCUCCCGCUGAGCAUGUGACAUCGACUAUCAAUGAGGAUAUCUUAGGUGUUCAGCUCUCAUCAUCAGACAUUCAAGUAAAGUGCCUUGAUCAUCCUGAAUUUAUACCCGAGAUAGUACGAGUGGAGGUUGACGAGCUGGAUUCGUAAGCUGGUGAUUGGACCUUACAACUGUGCUUAAGAUAAUGUGCCAAGAGCUGAAAGAUUGUUAUGAGAGAGAAGAUAUGGUGCCUAUUGGGUUUGUAGUGUCCGACCCCAUCGUAGUUCAAGGAGUUUGCAGAUGGGAGCAAUUAGUCGUGUUCCACAGCGUUCCCGGCACGAUGCCAUUUGUUAUUAAAAAGGGGUGGUUGCCUUCUGUUGAGUUUCUUCCUGUGGUUAUCAGUGCCUCUUUCAACAUGGUGGCGGGUUUAUUGAACUCCAUUAUGUUACAAUAAGUGGACAAACAAUCAUGGUCUCUGUUUGCCUGGUGGUUCAAGACAUAUGUCUCAUUUGCUUUGAUAGGCUUUAAGAUGGAGCAAAUCAAAGAGUGAGUGGUUCGUAUGGCUCACGUGUUCUGGAAGACCGCCAAUAUGGAAUCAAAUCCAAUUUCUUCCAAGGGCCUAGAUGAAAUUCGUAGGCGAUUGAAGCUUGUGGACGCCUGUAUCUCGAAGACAAAGGAGAAGAUAGCUACUCUUCUCGACGAAGCCACUCGCCAACAGAAGGUGUUGUCGUAGUUACGAAAAGAGCACGAAGAAAUUGUCACCAUUCAACAACCAAGGGCAUGUUUAAAGAAAAUCACUGAAAUGCAAA